CCUACGGGAGGCAGCAGUGGGGAAUUUUGGACAAUGGGCGCAAGCCUGAUCCAGCAAUGCCGCGUGCAGGAUGAAGGCCUUCGGGUUGUAAACUGCUUUUGUACGGAACGAAACGGCGAGCUCUAAUAAAGUUCGCUAAUGACGGUACCGUAAGAAUAAGCACCGGCUAACUACGUGCCAGCAGCCGCGGUAAUACGUAGGGUGCAAGCGUUAAUCGGAAUUACUGGGCGUAAAGCGUGCGCAGGCGGUGAUGUAAGACAGAUGUGAAAUCCCCGGGCUCAACCUGGGACCUGCAUUUGUGACUGCAUCGCUAGAGUACGGUAGAGGGGGAUGGAAUUCCGCGUGUAGCAGUGAAAUGCGUAGAUAUGCGGAGGAACACCGAUGGCGAAGGCAAUCCCCCUGGACCUGUACUGACGCUCAUGCACGAAAGCGUGGGGAGACAACAGAUAGAUACCUCGUAGUCCACCGACCCUAACCGACUGUCACUGGUUGGUUGGUUCGUUCUACU
rnacentral:rRNA from 1 species